GAUGAACGCUGGCGGCGUGCUUGAUACAUGCAAGUCGAACGCAUCGGCAAAGCCAAGGUGUCCUGGCGGAACCGGAGGGCGAGAAAUCGUUCAAAGGGGACAAAAGGGCAAGGAGGCGGAGCUGGUGAGGGGCGGACGGGUGAGUAACACGUAGGUGAUCUGCCUCAAAGUGGGGGAUAACUGUUCGAAAGGGCAGCUAAUACCGCAUGUGGUCCUUGGGAGACCGAGGAAGAAAGGCGAGGGUCGCUUUGAGAUGAGCCUGCGGCCGAUUAGCUAGUUGGUGAGGUAAAGGCUCACCAAGGCCGAAGAUCGGUAGCUGGUCUGAGAGGAUGAUCAGCCACACUGGGAUUGAGAACGGCCCAGACUCCUACGGGAGGCAGCAGUAAGGAUAUUGCACAAUGGGGGAACCCUGAUGCAGCAACGCCGCGUGGGUGAAGUAAGGCUUUCGAGUUGUAAAACCCUUUUCUGUGGGAUGAGGAAGGACAGUACCACAGGAAC
rnacentral:rRNA from 1 species